CGGCCAACUCCCGCCCCUUCGCCUGCCUGGUGGCACCGCGAGAACCCAGGGCCGGCCUGUGCGGACCUCCUCCUGGGCCUCCUGCCCCUUUUCCCCGCCGUCCAAUCAGAUCGGGCGAGGGGCACGGGGCCUCGAGAGCCCGUAGGCGGCGGCCCUGCGAACCGAGCAGUAACGACUGCGGCUUCCAGAAGUCCCGGCGAGUAACGGUCGAUACGAAUUCUGAGUCUUCGCUCUAGGGAAGAUGAGACGGUCGCCAGUUUCUCCGGCUCUUCGUCCGGGGCCUCGACAUUCCCUUACCUGCUUCCCCUCAGGGGAGUGACGAGCUAGGCCUGCUCUCCGCCCUUCUCUUUGGGGGCUCUCUACGAGCCUCUGUAUACUGUCCAGGUGACAGGGGUGACAAGAGAGACAGUGCUCACUUAUUAUUGUUGUUGUUGAGAGACAUUACUCAUUUAUUAUUGUUGUUGUUACCAUUAUUAUUUUGAAAUCUCCUCUGCCCUAGAAUUGAGCUUCUUGAGAGUAAGAACUCCGGUUCGUCGUCGUCACCCACCGCUUACCGCAGUGCUGAGGGUUCGCCAGGCGCUAGCAGUUUGCUGAAGAGAGUGGGUGUUUAUAGUGAAAAGAGAAGUGAGUUGGAAAUUAGAAAACCUGGCUUCGCGCGCCUCCCUCGCCAUCUGCCGCCUGGCGCGGCGCCUCUUGAGGUCUCCCCGCCUAGGCCGAGGCUCUGCUCGCCGUUCUGGAAGGUGUUGAGAAGAGUGUAGCGGUAAGAGGAUAGUGUCUGGACCUAAACCCCUUGUGAGGUGAGGCAUCUGUUAACUUUUCUCUGCCUCUCUUUGCACACCUAUAAAACGAAGAUGACAGGAAGUCCAUCAUAGGUUUUUCGAGAGAAUCAAAGGAGAUGGUGGGUGUGAAAGGGGUCUGUAAACAAUUCCUGUGUAGGUGUGAGAUCUUCCUUCACAAUUCGGUUAGCAAGACAAAACAUACCCUCAUGUGUGUAAAUAACCUUACAAAGUGUUUCUUCGAAUGCAGAAUAAUCAGGGAGGGGCAACUGAAGGAUAUGUAUUGACAAGACCCAGAAAAGGACAUGUUAACCAAGGAAAGAGCUGCCUUUGAGCCAGGUCUUAAAUAGAGUGGACCAAAUAUAGUCUGUGGUUCCAGCCCAAUGACCGAUUUUUCAAAGCAGCGGCUUAAAUCCACUUAGACCAUUGUUCUGAGACUGUCAAGAUAUUUCAGUUUUCCAGACCUUAAAGGAGAAAUGAAAUAAUCUUGUUACUCUAUGAUUUGGAUGGUUAGCAGGAUCUAUGGUUUGUUGUGUUUACCCAGCAUGUGAAGAGGUGCGAAGCAACUCUAUUUUCUUGUUAUCACAGAAACCACUUAAUAUGUGACCUUUCCAGCAUGAAUGCUAGGCAGACUUUACUGGCACCAUUACCUGGACUAUUUUUGGUUUUCUUUUUUCUGCCCCAAUCCUUCUUAAUCUUUUCUGUGAUAUAAUAAUGAUAACUAAGACUUAUUUAAUGUUAAGUUUCUAACAUGUACUCCAAUAAUCCAAUGAGGCAAGUACUAUUAUUAUCCCCAUAUUCAUAUAAGAAAACUGAGGCAUAGAGAAGUUAGAUAAUUUACUCAAGGGCCCACAGCUAGUGGAAGGCAGACCCUGGAAUCAAACAAUUUUUUCUGACUCUGGGACCUUAACCACUAUAUUCUGAGAAAGAGAAAAGCAGUCCCUGACAUCGAGUAGCUGGAAUGGUGCUAUCAGCUAGGUCUUUCUGUUGCUAGGAGCUGGCCUGGCACAGCUAGGCUUUGGUAUCUUCUGUUGAAUAUAAACUGUUUCAGGGAACAUCAGCAUCAGAAAAGGCCAUUUCAUGAUUGUGAUGGAUCAGGACAAAAAUAAGACUACUCCAUAAUCAUAUCUGAACACAGAGAAAAACAUGAACCUUAUCUAAGCCAACAAAUGAAAUACACAGACUGAAAAUAUCAGACUAUAUGAGGGGCUGUUACUUCUUUACUAAUUACAGCUUUAUCCUCAUUCUAGUCUUCCCUUUUUCUAUAUAAUAUUUAUUAAGGGGGACUUCCUUGGUGGCAUAAGGGUUAAGAAUCCGCCUGCCAAUGCAGGGUACACGGGUUCGAGCCCUGGUCUGGGAAGAUCCCACAUGCUGUGGCGCAGCUAAGCCCAUGCACCAUAACUAUUGAGCCUGCACUCUAGAGCCCACAAGCCACAACUACUGAAGCCUGAGUGCCUAGAGCCCGUGCUUCACAACAAGAGAAGCCACUGCAAUGAGAAGACCGCACACCGCAACGAAGAGUAGCCCUGCUUGCCGCAACUAGUGACAGCCCGUGUGCAGCAACGAAGACCCAAUGCAGCCAAAAAAAAAAAAAAAACUCUAAAACAAAGAUUUAUUAAGGUACCCAAUUAUAGAAUUACCCCUGCUUCCUGACAGCAUCCAAUUUAGAGCAAAUCACCCAACAAACCCAAAUCUUAAUGUAAGUCCUUUCUAACACCCUCAUAUUGAGAUGCCUCAUGGUUCCCCAUAGUGUGUGUUCUCCCUUGCUGCAGUGAGUAGUAAGCUUAGCUUGUUCAGCCACCGGUGUGUUCCUGGUGUUUGGCUAGAGAGCAUUGAUAAUUCUUUCUGGACUGUCUUAUACCACACAUGUAUAUGGAGUGGAAAGCAUACUGCUUAGUCAUUUCUCGCCACAGAAAUUGGGAACUGCCCUCCCAUCUCCAUCCAUUUGAUUUUCACACCAAAGCUAGAGGGUUACCUUUCUUUUUGUAGAUUCUACAUAGAUUCUCUGCUAAACAGAACCUUAUCAAAAGAUAGUGAAAAGAAACAAAUGACGCUGGAAUAGUUGCACAUCAUUUUGCAAGAAGAAAAAAGAACUUCAGCCUGUUAACCCAUACCGUGCACCGUAUGCAAAAUAACUCAAAAUAGAUUAUAAAUUUAAAUGUAAAAUUAUAAAAUGUUUAGAAGAAAACUUGGAAAAUUUUUGUCAUCUCUGGUUAGGCAAAAAAAUUUCUUAGCUACAACACCUAAAGCACAAUCCAUAAAAGAAAAAAUAAUUUAAUUUAUAAAAACUUAUGUUCUUUGGAUGAUAGUUAAGAAAAUGAAGCAGCAGACUAGGAGAAAAUAUCUGCAAAACAUAUCUGAUAAAUGACUAUAUACAGACUAUACGAAAAACUACAACUCGAUAAAAAAAGCAAGUAAACUAAUUUUUUAAACAUUGGCAUAAUUGAAUGACCACAAGAAAUGGUGCUCAGUGUCAUUAGUCAUGAGGGAAAUGCAUAUCAAAACACAAUGAAGUAUCACUACGUAGUUAAAAUAAUUCCAAAUGCUGUUGAGGAUGUAGAGCAACUGGAAUUCCCAGACAUUACUGGUGGGAAUACAAAAUGAUAGAGACAGGAAAAUAAUUCGGCAGUUUCUUUUAAUGUUAAAUAUACACUUGCCAUAAGACCCAGCAAUCCCACUCCUAGAUAUUUACCCAAGAGAAAUAAAAACUUCACAAAAAACCUGGACACACAUUUUCUAAUAGCCAAAACCUGGAAGCAAUCUAAGUGCCCAUUAAUUGGUGAAUGGAUAACAAAUUGUGGUACAUAUAUACAGUGGAAUCUACUCAGCAAUAAAAGGAGCAAACUACUGAUACAACAACAUAAAUGAUCUCAGAUGUAUUAUUCUAAGUGAAAGAUGUAAACUCAAAAGUACAUACUGAUGCUUCCAUUUAUAGGACAUUCUGGAAAAGCCAAAAUUAUAGAGGGGAAAAAAACAGAUCAGUUGUUGCCUAGGCAUUGGGAGGGGUUGACUGCAAAGGGGCUUGAGUGGGCUUUAUGCGGGUGAUGGAACUUUUCUAUAUCUUGAAGUGUGAUGUGGAUUAUAUAAUGUGUGCAUCUUUCAAAACUCAUAGAACUGUACACUAAAAAGAGCAGUUUGGUUGUAUGUAAAUUAUAUUUCAGUAAGCCUGACUUUAAAAAGAAAAAUGUUGAAUGGGAAAAAAGUUGGGAUGAGGCAGGGCCACCCAGUACCAUGAAUAUGAAGACAUUAACAGUAGCUCCCCAGAUACUAAAUUCUAAAUCUAAAAAAAGAAAAGAUAAAUUAUUAGUGGAUAAUCCACAUCAUGAAAGAACUUGUUCUUUCCUUUUUGUGCAGUAACAAAGUUCAUAGAACAUUGAAAUUUUUUUUACAAAUGAGGAACUCCUUGGUUUAUAGUGGAGUAACUUAAAACUGAAGUUGAAAGUCACUGCUGGCUGAUGGUCAAUCACAGAUGAAUAUAAAACAUCUCUGAUAUCAUCAGAACUGUGGGAAAAUAAAACUGCAUUUCAAAAACUCUUACAGUUUAUCAGGAACAUGUUUAUUGCACAAAUGAGGUUCCUGUACUAUACUGUAGAGGUAAGGGCAUUUGAGAGCAGAAAGUAACCAAUAGUGGUAAAUAGUGGUGAGCAAUUAGGCAAAAACGUAAGAGCAAAUAGAGCAUCUUUAAACUCAGGUCAUAAUUACUUAAAUUACCAUGAAGUUGGACCCUUUAAGAGCAUAAAUGGCUGCUCUGCUUUAGACCUUGGGAAAGGGAAUGAGGAUGAGAGGGAAUAAACUAGAAUGAUUUAAAAUGUGCAAAUAUAUUUUGUAACCCCUAUCAUGUGAUUUAGAGAUCUAGCAGAGAUACAGGUGGAUUAAUUUGAGAUUAAUUUCACAGUUCAUGCUAAUAAUUCUACUAUUGGAAGUCUAUAAUAAUCUCUGCCACAGUAGACAAAGUUCUCUCUGGCUAGUAGAAACAGCCAUCCUGGGCCUUACCCAUCAGUUCUCAGAAGGCCUGUUGUUGAUGGACUUUCUAAUUUCCUGUUUCUCUAGUGGCAGUUGUGGCCACAGUCUUCAUUCUGCUUAAGUGCCCCAGGCUCCUAAGAGACCCUUAGAGAAGACAGCAUAGUACCUGGAAACCUUCCAGUUUCAAUUAGAGAAUUCAGUCUCACUCAUAGUUCCCUGGGUGAGUACGAAACUUCAUCAGACAUGCCAUAGAACUGUCUCUCUGCUUAAAGGGUCUCAGUGAGCCAGGUUGGUUUAUCUACCAACUCUUCUGGCAUCAGUAGCUACUGUUGUCUUUGUUUUCCUGAAGUUUCUUAAGGACUCUGCCAAGGUAACUUUUUCCUGAUGCAGUAAAACUUUGGGGUCAGGGAUUGCAUAUCUAGGAUGUCUUUGGGGUCAACCGGUUGCACUUUCAUAUUUUUCAUAUAGCCAUCUUUAAUUUGUAUAAUCCUAGUCAGGGACUCCAUACCACCAGACUUCCCUAGCAUCUCUUCCCCCUGCUCAGCCACAGUGAACUGUAAAAAACUGCAUCUUAUUUACCCCCCGUUUUUUAGUCAUGAGUUCAAGUUCAUCUUUGGCAUUAGUUCUGUUUCCAGCUCUGCAAUUCUCUCCAAGUCUCCUAACCUGGACCUGCAACAGAGAGUCUAUAAUUGUUGAAAGAUUCUAUCUUAUCCUUUCUGUCAAUUGCUAAGUUUGGUCUCCUUUUCUUCUUUCAGCCAUUGAAGGUUUGUCUGACUCAUCUCUCCCUAUGACUUCGAAUUUUCGCAAGCUGGAUGUGGUCUGCAUUUUUCGCAUUCCCUCCUCUAACCCCUCCAUGGUCAGAAGAGACAGUGCAAGCUACAGUGUGUACACUGAAGGUGAUGUUCUCUCUUCUCAAUAGUUCCUAAAAGGAGGGAUUUCAGUUAUGAAAGGUGAAGAGAAAGCCUGAGGAUACCUAGCAUCUUAAAUCAAGUCCUCUGUAACCAGGGAGGACCCAAUGAGAAAACAGUCAUCUGCAACACAGAAGAGGGCCCUCACCAGAAUCCCACCAUGCUGUCAUCCUGAUCUCAGACUUCCAGCUCAGAACUGCAGCUCCAGACUUUUUCCUGGACUCCCUGCCGGCUAGCUGUGGCGCACUAUCCCCCUUCAGGCUGUGUUCACGCAAGCAGCCCCGGUCCUCUCCCUGGGAUCUGACCUCCGAAGCCCGAGCCUCAGCUCCCAGCCCCCACCCACCCCGGCGGGUGAGCAGACAAGCCUCUCGGGCUGAGCUCUUGGAAAUCUUCACAGUGGAGGUGACUUAAAGUGAAGUUGAAGCUGCCAAAAUUUCACCUGUCCCAGUGGACCAGGCAUAUAAUUAAUGGCUAAUUUGAUACGUAUGGAUUUCGUUUAAUGGAAUAAAUCAUUUGAUUUUUGCCUCUCCAAUCUCUAGUGAUACAUAUAGUUCAACAUUUUCCUGAGCCACCAUUUCCCUCUACAUAGGACCUGACUUGAUAUUUGAGAAAAGCUCAACUAUGGAAUGAAAAAGCAGGAAUGAAUGGCCUCCAAAUCUUAAUUUUUUUGUCAGUUGCUACUCCUCUUGAUUGAGGGAUACUAGCCUUUGCAUAGCUGUUGUGAAAAAGGAGAUGACCAGAAGAAAUUCACCUUCCGGUGGCAGCUGCCACCAACACACAGAAGCACUCACUCAAGAUGGCUUAAAGGAGACAGUGACUCAAUGUACGACUAGAAAAUUGAGCAA